rnacentral:rRNA from 1 species
CCUACGGGAGGCAGCAGUGGGGAAUAUUGGGCAAUGGGCGAAAGCCUGACCCAGCAACGCCGCGUGAAGGAAGAAGGCUUUCGGGUUGUAAACUUCUUUUGACAGGGAAGAGCAGCAGACGGUACCUGUCGAAUAAGCCACGGCUAACUACGUGCCAGCAGCCGCGGUAAUACGUAGGUGGCAAGCGUUGUCCGGAUUUACUGGGUGUAAAGGGCGUGUAGCCGGGCUGACAAGUCAGAUGUGAAAUCCGGGGGCUCAACCCCCGAACUGCAUUUGAAACUGUUGGUCUUGAGUAUCGGAGAGGCAGGCGGAAUUCCUAGUGUAGCGGUGAAAUGCGUAGAUAUUAGGAGGAACACCAGUGGCGAAGGCAGCUUACCAAUCUAUAUCUGACGUUGAGGCACGAAAGCGUGGGGAGCAAACAGGAUUAGAUACCCCGGUAGUC